rnacentral:rRNA from 1 species
GAUGAACGCUGGCGGCGUGCCUAAUACAUGCAAGUCGAGCGAACAGAUGAGGAGCUUGCUCCUCUGACGUUAGCGGCGGACGGGUGAGUAACACGUGGAUAACCUACCUAUAAGACUGGGAUAACUUCGGGAAACCGGAGCUAAUACCGGAUAAUAUAUUGAACCGCAUGGUUCAAUAGUGAAAGACGGUUUUGCUGUCACUUAUAGAUGGAUCCGCGCCGCAUUAGCUAGUUGGUAAGGUAACGGCUUACCAAGGCAACGAUGCGUAGCCGACCCGCGAGGGUUGUUGGGCACACCGGAACUUGGGCACCGUCCAGAAUCCCACGGGGGGGAGGCGUAGGGAAACCUCCGGAAUGGGCCGAAGCCCGACGGAGCCACCGCGGGGGAGUGAAGAAGGGCUUCCGAUUGUAAAACCCUUGUAAUAGGGAAAAAAAAAAGGUGAAGGAACCAUGGACCGUCUGAAGGUACCUAAUCAGAAAGCCACGGCUAACUACGUG